UGGGGAACCUGCCCCAUAGUCUGGGAUACCACUUGGAAACAGGUGCUAAUACCGGAUAAGAAAGCAGAUCGCAUGAUCAGCUUUUAAAAGGCGGCGUAAGCUGUCGCUAUGGGAUGGCCCCGCGGUGCAUUAGCUAGUUGGUAAGGUAAAGGCUUACCAAGGCGAUGAUGCAUAGCCGAGUUGAGAGACUGAUCGGCCACAUUGGGACUGAGACACGGCCCAAACUCCUACGGGAGGCAGCAGAU
rnacentral:rRNA from 1 species